rnacentral:rRNA from 1 species
GAUGAACGCUAGCUACAGGCUUAACACAUGCAAGUCGAGGGACCGGCGCACGGGUGCGUAACACGUAUCCAACCUGCCCUUUACUCGGGGAUAGCCUUUCGAAAGAAAGAUUAAUACCCGAUGUAAAGGAUGGGGAUGCGUUCCAUUAGGUUGUUGGUGAGGUAACGCCUCACCAAGCCUGCGAUGGAUAGGGGUUCUGAGAGGAAGUUCCACCACAUUGGAACUGAGACCCGGUCCAAACUCCUACGGGAGGGAGCAGUGAGUAAUAUUGUGGACUGGGCGUUAGCCUGAACCAGCCAAGUAGCGUGAAGGAUGAAGGCUUAUGGGUCGUAAACUUCUUGUAUAUAAGAAUAUGUAUUAUAUGAAUAAGGAUCGGCUAACUCCGUGCCAGCAGCCGCGGUAAUAC